AAGGCUCUCACUGGAAACAACUGCAAUUUUCAGUUCUGUAGGUGUUUCCUGAGGUACUUCAGAGCCUGAUGUGAGCAGCAUGGAAGACAUUUUAAAGGAUGAUGGGUCAAACUGUACUGUUUCAAAAUACAGCUCUAUCUUUGGAAUAGGAAUGUGGAAUAAAAGCAUAUCCUCUGCAAGCUUUUCUUAGGUGGCUUCAACAAUUCCAGAGGAAAGACAAUCUUCUAUUGAGUAGCAGCUCAAACAUUUGAAAAUACCAAACCCAAGGAGAUGUAUCCAAAAGGAAAACAGGAAUCCAAUUUUCCUAAGAUCUCCAUCAGAAAGCAGCAUAGCUAUGUGGCUCUCCAUCUUCACAGGACAUGGAUAACAAGGUUUUCAGUUCUUCCAGUGGUAAAUGACUCACCUAACUCAGGAUUUGUGAAGUACUAUCUGGACUUUAUUGCUAACUGCAAGUCGCUGUACAGACUCAUCAUUCAUACAACAAAAAAAGAAGUCCCCAAGCAUACCUCAUCUAUUUGCAUUCCCUUCCUCAGUGCUUGCUUUAUUUCCAAAACUGGAACAAAUAGAGACUGCUCAGUAAUAAUCACCUGAGGCCCUUUCAGCCUUAGCCAGGUGGCAGAAGACGUCCCUCACCCUUAUCUUAUGAGAUUUUCUUUUGCACCAAUAUGCUCGUUCUUUUUGUGUCAUCACAAACACCGUUAUUAGUCCAAUCACUCCUUGCAUGCCAAAUUGGCUUCAGCUCACAGUGGCACACUUGCAAACCAUUUGUGCCAUUUUACCAUGUGUUCAUAAAUGUAACGUAGACAUUUGAAAAAAAUGAGAUCACUAAAAAGAAUCAAUGAUUGAGAGUAGAGCCUUUCAGAACGUGAAACUCCAAGAACUAUUGUUGAGUGAGAAUGUGGUAAUGCAGGAAUCUGCUGGGAAAUAGUGAUAAUUGGAGUUAAGCUUGCUUAGAUUCAUUGACAUAUUGCUAAUUACAAUGAUUCGGAAUUGCAAGAGUAUUUGCUUGCUGUUUUAAAGAUAACUAGUAUGUAAUUAUAAUAUCAUUUGUGUUCAUCGUACCACACCAGAAGUAAAUGAAGUUAAGUUUUAAUAAUUUCUGGAUAAUAUCCAACUAGAGAAAAAAGUAUAUACAUGUUUACAUGUUUGUUUAUAAUUAUGAAAGGCCUGAUAUAUGCAGAAUACUAAAUACAGAAUGUAAGUUGUUUGUUUUUUCCUGUGUGCAUGUGAAUCUUUUGAAUAUUUAUAAACUAAUGCAAAAGGAAUGUUUAAACUCAAUUUGCAUACUUCUGCCAGCUUCUC